UACCAGCACCCCGAGUGGUCGGGACGAUUAUUGGGCCUAAAGCAUCCGUAGCCGGUUCUACAAGUCUUCCGUUAAAUCCACCUGCUUAACAGAUGGGCUGCGGAGGAUACUAUAGAGCUAGGAGGCGGGAGAGGCAAGCGGUACUUAGUGGGUAGGGGUAAAAUCCGUUGAUCCAUUGAAGACCACCAGUGGCGAAGGCGGCUUGCCAGAACGCGCUCGACGGUGAGGGAUGAAAGCUGGGGGGAGCAAACCGG
rnacentral:rRNA from 1 species